rnacentral:lncRNA from 1 species
UGCCAAGGCAAAACGGCAUAAACGCCAAAAUGGCCAGUUUUGAGGUAGAUGCACGAAAAAAUAGGAUUUUAAUUUCCGCACCAGACAGUCACCGCGGCAUAACCGAAAACAAAGUGAAAUAGGUGUAAUAUUGGUUUAAAGUUUUUAUAAACGCCAGUCUAGUCACGCACGUGAAGGUCGACGUGAACAAUGAUUGACACAACCGCCAGUGCCCAUAAGAUUAUCAUUGUGUACAGUUCGGUCCAGUAAUAAUAGUAAAGAUUUUCUGCCUUAUAUAAAUUUUCCCCUCUUCUACACAGAGAAAACACAGGGAAUAAACAGCCAUAACAACAUGACCGCUACUACGCACAACUCCACACCUACCUAAAACGACUUACAUACAUACAUAUUAUAUUUUAUGUAUCUACAUUCAACAAUCACACCACAACAAGCUUUAGGCAGCAUUUGCUUCUUUUCUCUUAACAUUAAAUUCAUUUCUGUAUAAUAAACAUGAUUAGUUAA